rnacentral:rRNA from 1 species
UAUUGCACAAUGGGCGGAAGCCUGAUGCAGCGCCGCCGCGUGAGUGAAGAAGUGUCUCGGGGUGUAAAGCUCUAUCAGCAGGGAAGAAAAUGACGGUACCUGACUAAGAAGCCCCGGCUAACUACGUGCCAGCAGCCGCGGUAAUACGUAGGGGGCAAGCGUUAUCCGGAUUUACUGGGUGUAAAGCGAGCGUAGACGGCGACGCAAGUCUGGAGUGAAAGCCCGGGGCCCAACCCCCGGACUGCUCUGGAAACUAUGUGACUGGAGUGCAGGAGAGGUGAGCGGAAUUCCUAGUGUAGCGGUGAAAUGCGUAGAUAUUAGGAGGAACACCAGUGGCGAAGGCGGCUCACUGGACUGUAACUGACGUUGAGGCUCGAAAGCGUGGGGAGCAAACA